UUUAACAGAUAUUAUUAUUAUUAAAUAAAAAAAGAAAAUAAAAAAAUAUAUAUAAGGAAAAAAAAAAUGUUUAAAUUAUGUUGACAUAUGAUUCAUGCUGACGUUAUAAAAAGGUCGCAUUUAGCAUUUGUUUUAGUAAUUGACGUAAAGGUAAUGGAAGUAACCAUGGCCUUAGAAACGAUAAACUUAACAUUGAUCUUCAUAAACACACUAAAAACAUUAAAAAAAAAGAAAACUGCUAUAGAUGAGGAAGUCAUCUUAGUAAAAACAAAAAGACAAUCAUUGAAAAAAAUAUCAAAAUCUGACAGCAAUUAUUUUCAGCACGUUGUUAUUUAGAAUCAACAUUAUACUGCUUUCGGUUGAUAUUUUAAUCGUAAAAUCCAAAGAAAACAACAUUAAUUAAAGUAUAAAAUUAACGAUUUAUAUAUCUCAAAUGAACAAGAAGCAAACAAAGUCAAAGCCAACCAAGUUCAAAACUUUCUUAUCUUGCACAUCUCUUUUUAACCACAAAACUUAAAAAAAGCAUCUGCACUUAAAAUUGUGAAUGGUGGUAAUAUUAUUUGAGUUAGAAUGCUAUAACUUUACUGGCUGUGUUAUUUUCCACGAUUUUAAUUAGCUUAUUUAUUGCUUAAUCAGCUCAAUGAAGCCAUUGAAAUAAGUAUAUAUGUUCAUAACAAUUCUUAAACCACCUGAAACUUUGGAGUUAUUAUUCGUACUUUAAUUCAGCCUAGCCGAUAUUGUGUGACAGAUGUUCUCUGCAUAUUUUUAUGUCCCUGGAAAGUAUAUACCAGGACAAACUUCCCCUUGAAAGUAAUUUCUAGAAUAAAUUUAUUAUAGAUUAUCCUUAAGGAUAAUCCCCCAAUGAAUUUUUGGCUCAAUGAAAAACUGAUGUAGUUAUUUUAUUUGUUAUACCAAGUUAGCAGAUAAUGGUUUUACUUAACGUUAAUAAUUACCUAUAUCCAAGAGUGUUCAUAAACAUUGUCGGUCCUGGCGUAGAAUUAUCACAUGGGUUCUAUUACUAUUUUAUUUUUAAAAGUAAACAGAAUAAAAUAAAAAUGUAAUUUAGCAGUUAAAAUACAGUUAAAGAAAAUUAUUGUGUUACAUGGUCUAAAUAUUGAUAGUUUGCAUCACCUUUUUGCUUUCAUGUUUAACUGACAUGAUUUUUGGAACAGACGCAACGAUUGAAGCUUUAAAACAGCAAAUGAAAUGAGGACGCGUCAUUUUAUUUUCGAAGGUCUGCAUCAAACCAUUUUUUUAUGCAUUACCUAUUGAAAUGCAAACACAGCUACAUAGCAGCUAGUGACUUAAGUACAGAAACCAUUGCUGUCCCCACCCUAUCACCAUAUCAUUUUUUACGUUAUUACAAAGCCUGCUAUAACUGUCACCGCGGUAUUAACGUAAUUUAACAAACAUUCCCGCGAUAAUUAUUGUGGUGACCGCGGUAAUAUCACAAUUCCCUUUACCGUAUUGCUCUCUAUUAUAUAGAGACUAUAACUUGCUGAUUUGGUUGAAGUUUGUAUAGUACUAUUAUUACAAGAUGAAAACCGUAAACAAGUAUAAAGUUGCUUCAUUUGAGCUUAAACAAAGCUUAAAAUAUAUUCACGAAAACCUAUAUACAAUACUUCUCCUUUAAUGCAUGUGUUUGUCACCCAAUGGUUAACAUCGUGAAGAAUGAUGAUUGACUCACGUGUGAUUGCGCCUAACCCAGAUUACGUCUGAACUAGAAAUUGAUUGCUUUUGUUAUCAAGAUGUUCCAAAACCAUUUUGUUAACCGCAUCAAUGAUUUUGUUGUUAAAACAUGCGUCCGAAAUCAUGAUCUGUUUAUUGUUAUUUUUAGAUAGUGCUUUGAAAUCCAAGUUGUAAAUUUUGAAACUUUUUUCUGAUAAAUAAUUUUUU